GACAUGCAGCCACUUUCCCAGUAAAAGUCUCCCACCGCACAUUUAGACAGGCAAGUAGCCCAUCCAAUCAUUUCAUUGGGCCCGUAUGGAAUGAUUGGACGGGCUUAUUACAGUCCUGCGGUAGCCACAGAUACGGAUUGUCUUCUUUUUUUUUGUCAGGGCAUUUGAUUUAUUGGUUGCUGUGGUGAUGUAAUGAGAAUUUAAACAUAUAGCAAAAAUGCUUUUGAAGAACACUACCAACCAUAGCUUUAAAGUGUCCGUUACGCAAAAAUAUU